rnacentral:rRNA from 1 species
CUCAAACAUUUUAUACGACCCUAAAAUAUUGAUAUAAACAUUAUUUUAAUAGAUAAACUAAAUCAUUCUUUUACCUGAGUACGGGCGACAGAAAAGGUUAAACCUGAAGCGAUAGAAAAAGUACCGCAAGGGAAAGCUGAAAGAGAAAUGAAACAACACAUUAAAGCAAAAAGAACAAGAUAAAACC